UGCAGAUCUCACAUAUGAAUCUAUUUGUUGCCAUAAGUGUCUUCGGCGAUAGAGCUAUAACUUCAGCUUCCGGGUCUGGAUUGCUAGGAAGGUUUCUCCUUUUCUUAGGUGGAGUCUCACCAUGAGUUUGAGUUUGAGUGAAAAUAAAGGGGUGGACAUGGCAUGGUGAUGAAUUGGAAUGCUAUGGAUUAUGCUCAUGGAGGAUUGCAAUUGCUGCAAUGUGUUUUGCUCUUCAUAACCAAAGAUUAUUUUUGAAGUAUACAUCAAAAUGCAAUCGACAUAUAAUGUCUUCAUUGAACCAUCUAUUUCAAAAGUUUUAAGAAUGCGACGAGCCAACAGGAGACCGGUGCAAUAGGCUGCAACAUAAUUGGUUGGUGGCUCGAGUUGUAAAACAUGGACAUGGCGGAGAGCGUAUUCAAAUCUGAAGCAAACUCUUAUCUUGAAGUAAAGAGCUCAAUUUAGAACACUACAUGUUGCUGACUA